rnacentral:misc_RNA from 1 species
CAAUAAGAGUGUUUAUGGCACUCUUCCAAAAAUCCAUACCCACCUUGUGUGCAACGUAAGAAGAAAAAAACGCGGAGUCAUGGGGGGGGACAGAGUGUGGCAACAACAAAAGAAGCCCAAGACUUGCCUUUUUCUUUUCCACAUACACCUUUCUAUAAGUUCCUAUUGUCUGAAGCUGUUAGAGAAUUGACUAAUUCUUAAACA